rnacentral:rRNA from 1 species
CCUACGGGUGGCAGCAGUGAGGAAUAUUGGUCAAUGGGCGCGAGCCUGAACCAGCCAAGUCGCGUGAAGGAUGACUGCCCUACGGGUUGUAAACUUCUUUUAUAAAGGAAUAAAGUGAGGCACGUGUGCCUUUUUGUAUGUACUUUAUGAAUAAGGCUCGGCUAACUCCGUGCCAGCAGCCGCGGUAAUACGGAGGAUCCGAGCGUUAUACGGAUUUAUUGGGUUUAAAGGGAGCGUAGAUGGGUUGUUAAGUCAGUUGUGAAAGGUUGCGGCUCAACCGUCAAAUUGCAAUUGAUACUGGCAGUCUUGAGUGCAGUGGAGGUAGGCGGAAUUCGUGGUGUAGCGGUGAAAUGCUUAGAUAUCACGAAGAACUCCGAUUGCGAAGGCAGCUUACUAAACUGCCACUGACAUUGAUGCUCGAAAGUGUGGGUAUCAAACAGGAUUAGAUACCCUUGUAGUC